rnacentral:rRNA from 3 species
GUGACUGCGGAAGGAUCAUUGUUGAU